CACAUUGUAGGCCUCAUUAAAUAUUUGUUGUAUGAAAAAUGAAUCAUCAACAGACAUUAAUUGGGCACUUGCUCUAUG
rnacentral:pre_miRNA from 1 species